rnacentral:rRNA from 1 species
ACGCACGCUGGCGGCGUGCUUAACACAUGCAAGUCGAACGGAAAGGCCCUGCUUUUGUGGGGUGCUCGAGUGGCGAACGGGUGAGUAACACGUGAGUAACCUGCCCUUGACUUUGGGAUAACUUCAGGAAACUGGGGCUAAUACCGGAUAGGAGCUCCUGCUGCAUGGUGGGGGUUGGAAAGUUUCGGCGGUUGGGGAUGGACUCGCGGCUUAUCAGCUUGUUGGUGGGGUAGUGGCUUACCAAGGCUUUGACGGGUAGCCGGCCUGAGAGGGUGACCGGCCACAUUGGGACUGAGAUACGGCCCAGACUCCUACGGGAGGCAGCAGUGGGGAAUAUUGCACAAUGGGCGGAAGCCUGAUGCAGCAACGCCGCGUGCGGGAUGACGGCCUUCGGGUUGUAAACCGCUUUCGCCUGUAACGAAGCGUGAGUGACGGUAAUGGGUAAAGAAGCACCGGCUAACUACGUG